AUGGCUCAGGAUGAACGCUGGCGGCGUGCAUAACACAUUCAAGUCGAACGGAGCGGUUCCUUCGGGGGAUCGCUUAGUGGCGGACGGGUGAGUAACGCGUGAGUAACCUGCCAUACGACAGGGGGAUAACGACCGGAAACAGUCGCUAAUACCGCAUAACGCAUGAAGGUCACAUGGUCUUUAUGCCAAAGAUUUAUCGGUGUAUGAUGGACUCGCGUCCGAUUAGGCAGUUGGCGGGGCAACGGCCCACCAAACCGACGAUCGGUAGCCGAACUGAGAGGUUGAACGGCCACAUUGGAACUGAGAUACGGUCCAGACUCCUACGGGAGGCAGCAGUGGGGAAUAUUGGGCAAUGGGCGCAAGCCUGACCCAGCCGACGCCGCGUGAGGGAAGAAGGUCUUCGGAUUGUAAACCUCUUUCAGCAGGGAAGAAGUCAAUGACGGUACCUGCAGAAGAAGUCACGGCUAACUACGUGCCAGCCGCAGC
rnacentral:rRNA from 1 species